AGUAACCAAAAAUGGUUGCAGGGUUUAGGGUUGGGUUAGUGAUAAUACGGACAUCUCCACCACCAGGAGCCCAGGUAUCAUAUACACCACCAAAGAACAUGGCUUUAAAUACCAGUAAGAAAGCACCCAAACCUAAAAGGAUCAAGUGAUAACCAAUGAUGUUGGUCAUUUGGUUUUUAUCUUUCCA
rnacentral:antisense_RNA from 1 species